GGGCACACAGUUGAAGGGAUGUCUUGCUAAAGCAGACAUGUGAAAGAACGUUUUCCUGAAGCAGACACAGGUAAGAAGGUGUUUUCUGGAGCAGACACAUGACAGGAGCCGGGAUGAAGGAGUAUAAAUAUGACCCCUCAGACAGUGGGAGAUGAGCACUGAGCGUUGCAUUGGCUUGCUUCCUCUUCUUUCCUAACGACAAGCAUAUAUUGGUUUACUUACAUAGCUUUGUUGAGCUAAACUUGUGGUAACCUAGCUAUUGAGAGAAAUUCACCCAAGAACUGCUCCUGAUGUUCCUGUGGCAGCUUGCCCCUUCGGCAGCCUCACCUCAGGCUGCUUGGAAAAACUUCAGGAUUGAACUACAGCUGUUGGUUCCUGCCUGGUGUCUGCCUGCCUAGAGGACUGGUCUGCAGCUGCUGAGUCAGAUUUGGUGUUUGCUCUGGGACUGAACUGCUGCCAAGAAAGAGCGAGCUCACCCACAAAGAACUAUUGCUGAACAGGUCCACUUCCCCCGUACAUUAAUAACUUUUCCUUUCCACUAUCUCUGCUGGGCAGCGGGGCUAGAGGAGAGGUUGAACCCUUACUAAAAGUUGGUUGCAAAAAUGUAUGCCUACACACUCUCAACACAGUUUCAUAUGCCAAGGCUCUUUGCGAAUAGUUCAUGAUUUUGGGGGGGGGGGCACCCUCCAAGAUACUUACCUAUUUUUGAGCCCAAGUCCUGUGCACCCAGGCUAGCCCCAAACUCCCUUUGUAGUCAAGGGACCUUGAGCUCCUGAUCUUUCUGCCUUUCAUGCCUUUCAGGCAUGUGUUUCCUGGUUUAUUCAGCACUGGGGAUCAAGCCCAAGGCUUUUGUGCAUUCGAGGUAAAUACUCUACAAACUGGACUGUAUCCCUAGCCUGGGGAUGUCUCGAUGGGCAAAAUAUCAUCAUGACAUCUGCCAGUGUCUGAGCUAAAGUAUGCAGUUCUUUCCUGGUACAUACACACUGCGGAGAGAAGAGUUGAGGUUACGACAGGAACUCUGGUACACAAGUUCUAGUGGUGAAUUCUGGCUGAUUCCGUUAUCUUGUGACUGCAAUUCUCUUUUCCAGGAGGGGAAACAUUCUCAUUAGUGGGUGUUAGCAUUGCGUCGGUAUCAAGGAACAGAUAUGAGGAUGUUAGCAUUGUGCCAGUAUCAGGGAACAGAUAUGGGGCCAGUGUUCCAUACCUGACUGUACCCUUAAGAGCUGUAUGACUUUUGGCUAGAUGAUUUCAACAUGCUGAGUGUACUGCAAAUUCCUCUUGUGUAAGAGGUGGCAAGGCCCACCUCAGAAGACUAGGAAAUGAUGGGAUAUUUAUAAGCGCUCACAACAGACACAUGAGUGCAUCAGACAGUUCAUAUACGUUCUCUACAACUCAAGCCAGUAUUUGUUUAGAAUGUGCUGUGAGGACCUGUGCAGUCCUCAUUGCAAAGAGCCAAGGAGGAUAUAACUCCUACCCCAAGCCACUCAGAUUCUAAAGGAAGGCGUGUGCUGGCGUAACAACGCACAUAGUACUAGAAAACUGAGAAGAAAUCAGUCGAUCGAUUCUGAAAAUAAAAACUGUUUUACUCAGUGAGAGCAAAAGUGUUUUGGAUAAUUACUGUUUCUCCAAAUAUUGAAAAAUAAAAUGAAUGACCACAUUCGAGAAGGGUUGGUUUUUGUGUUAUGCAUCCCUCUGUAGUUAUUUGACACAAAGAUGCUUGUCAGAGAGAAGGUGGCAAUGAACACUGAGGAAUCCCUUGCCAAGCACGUCUAAGAUUUUUCUCACGGCACUCAAUGGUCUGCAGACUAUGAGACCUGUAUGACCACUGUAUGAGUUCUCUGAAUCUCAGAUACGCUAUGGUGCAGGGGGAUGCAAAGGCAGGAAAAACUCUCAGGCUUAAAGCCAAUUUGGUUAUUGCUGAAACAGAGGUUUUCAAGUUUUUUUUUUAAACAAACACUGCUUUAGCAUAAAAUUGUGCAUGGUUAAAUGCAUUGUUUUACUAGUGGAAGCAUAAGUUAUGGUUAUGUUUUAAGCCAACUCCUUGAUGACUGUAAAUAUUUAUUUAUUAUAAAGCCGAUAAUGAGAACAAUGUGGAUUUUGUGCUGAACACGGAAAUUUGACCCUGUAGUCAAAGUCAAGGCAUUUCUAGCUGUCCCGGCCCCACUGUUUAAGACAACUCUGCAUGGUAAAAUUGCACAUUAAACGGAUUUUUAAAUAAGUCCUGUUGUAAUCCAGUUCAUUCUUCAAAUAGGUAACUCAGAUGCUUAGAAUUGGAAUUAAAGUCUAUUUGAUUAUUUUAUGAUAAAUACGUAUCCCCCAUUUCUCUGUGUCAGGCAGGGGUGCUCAGUGUCAGAGGGACCUUAGGGUACAUGUGACCAUGGUUCUUAGCCUCAGGGUGAGUGGAAGUCCUGGGAAGUUGAACACUGACAGGUUGAUUUUCCUCCAGCAGUGUGACAGGACAGUGUCUAGCUAACCAGGAUGGAAAGGUCUGUCUUUUCAUAUGUCUUAGUGCCUUUUCACAUGUCAUCUGAGUGUCUAGCACAGAGUGGCUGACAUCCUUGGGAAACUGUAACUGUGACUCUACCUCCUUGCCUUUACUCACAUGCAGUGGAUCUUGGCUAUUGCUGGCAACCCUGAGCGCUAGUGUAUCUACUUUAGUGCCUGGGAACUGGUAAAUCCAGGUCAGGAUUGUAGACAUUCUGACAGACUUAAGGACUUCUGGAUACUUUCACAUUAGAAGUACAGUUUGUAGCACUCUGAAAGAAACAUAGUAUCUACCCUAGCAGUAUAAAUGCUGUAUUUCAUUUCUUAAAUUUAGUCCAUUAGACAAGAGAUCCUGAUUACAGACGUUAUUUUCUUUUACAAUCAUUUUAAAGAUGAAAAUUAGACUUAACUAUAUCUUUAGCAGUUGGAAAAUGAUUUGCUUUCAACGUUGGGAAUCUUCACAGUGGCAAACAAUUCUGAGAGUGAACUCUACAACCUGGCUGUGCCUAGCUUUGGAAGCAAGAUAGCAUAAGAUCUGGGAUGAGGACAAAUGUGCGCGUAGCCUUAGGGCUGAUUUAUGAAAGUAGAGAUCUCACCCUUAGUCUCUGAUACCCAUCAGUGGUCCUGUGAUAACUCUCAAGCUCCACCCAGUGUGGAAGAGAGCCCCCUGUUGACUGCUUGCAGAACACAGUCACCUCCCUGAAGCCUUCAGAUCAGGAUGUAGAACUCUCAGCUCCCUCUGCACCAUGCCUGCCAGCACACUGCCAUGCUUCCCACUAUGAUGAUAAUGGACUGAACCUCUGAACCUGUAUGCCAGCCCCAAUGAAAUGUUUUCCUUUGUAAGAGUUGCAUUGGUCAUGGUGUCUCUUCACAGAAAUGAAACUCUAAGACAGGUGGUAACAAAAUGGCUGUGGGUGGGCAGAUCCCUCUGUUGGCAUCACAUCUACUACUGCUGAGUUUCAUCUGUGCAAGGGCAGUUGUGAGACUUCCUUCUUGUGUGAGACUUUCCCAGCAGGUAACUGACCUGAGACUAGUCCUUGGUCUGUCCAGAGUUUUCUCAGAGCUACACCUCACUUCCUUCCCAGUCAUACUUCCUCACCCCUGCUCUUCACACCCUGUCAGAGCUACACCCACUUGCUUCCGCCCUGCCUUCUUCAGAGUUGUUCCACACCCUACAGCUUCUCAUCCUAUCUCAGUGUCUGCCCCAGGAAGAGUCAAAGCUGACGAAAUGCCAGGGGGAUGAAAGGAUUUUCUUUUCUUUUUUCUUUUUUAAAUGCAAGGUUCAUUCUGAAUGAUAAUUGGGACCCAGUAACAUUUACAUCCCCCCCCCCCAAUUCUGUCUUUCAACCCCAGGUUCUUUUAUGAACUACCCCACAACACUAAACAGGGAAAACUUUUAAAAGCAUUCUAAAUGUGAGGGGGAAAAAGAUUCUUUAGGAAAUUCUGGCAAAAGCAAUGAAGGUUGAGUUGGAAUCCAACAUAAAGGAGGAUAUCAAAAGUUAUUAAGAGAGAGCCGUCCAGCCAUCGUGUGUCCUGGUGGAUGUGGAAGCAUGCUUACACACAUGUGUGGAGGCCAUGUUGGGAUUCUGUGCUUUAUAACUUUGAGGCAAGGUCUCUCACUGGAUCUGGUGCUCAGUGUUUCAGUUAGGCUAGCUGCCCAGCUAGCUCUGUGGCUGUGUCUGUCUGCCAUGCAGAAAUGGGGUUAUACAAUGUUUGCCCAGUCUCAGCUGUCAUGUAGGCAUGCAGGACUGGGUUACAUGUGUGUGGCCAGUCUCAGCUGUUAUGUAGAAUCUGGGGCUGCGUGCUCAGGGUGUGACAUUUGUGCACCAAGCAUUUUACCCGUGAAUCUACCUUCCUAGUUCCUUAGUCAUUUUUUUUUAAAUGUGGAAAUGAAACUCUGGAGAUAAUCUGGGGAUGGUGGCACAUGCUUCCCGGAGGUAGACGCAGGAAGAGCGUCAAGGGAUCAAGGUCACUGUCAGUUCCAGAGCCAGUCUCAAGCCAGCUUGGGCUAUAUGACACUGUCUUUAAAAAAAUAAAACAAGCAAGCGAAUGAAUGAAUGAAUGAAUGAAUGAUAUAAAAGAAAGAAACUCUGGGUAAAGGCUUUGAUUUUUGUUUGUUUAUUUAAUUUGGCUCCAAAGAAGGUUGCACGUAAAUUUCUGAGGACAAGGAUCUGUCAUAGUUAAGAAAGGAAGCAAUUAGAGUAGAAAAAUAUCUCAGAAGCCCUUUCCAGGUCAGUAUGAAUAGCAACAAUAUUCCAGAGAGAGUGCCAACACAUCACGGGGCAGGAGAGACUUGGAGGCAGGAAAUAAUGCUAUCGAGUGUGGACUUUUGCAGCUAAAUGGAAAGUCAGGCCAAGGAAAUGGAGGGCAGAUGGAGAGAUGGCAGGAGAAGGUUUCUCUCUCUUUGAAGUGCAUUUUCAAAGGCUAAAAACCAAAGCUGAACUUGAUGCCUACCAGAUGUAAAAUGAAAGUGUCAACAUUAAAAUCAAGCAAACAGACGAAAAGAGAACAGCUCAUGAGAGAGAGUACCCUGAACUGCUCACACUUUAUGCCACGGUCCUCAGGUGGCUAACCCAAGGAAACGGUAAAGAACCACCCCCAAUUUGUGUCCGAUUAUGCAGAGCUAGAGUGGAAAACUUUAAUACAGUGACUAGGGCACCAAAAGGAUGGCAGGCGGGAGGGUUGCUCGAGUCUGAAGCUCCUUCCGGAUAGUCAGAAGAGAAGCCUGAUGUUCGCUGUCAUCUGGACCCCAACUCCACACUUCUGCUACAGUGUUGCAGACCAAGACGUCAUGAAUUGGCUGUUAUGAAGAUGAAGGUAUCAGCUUAGCACUACUGAAAUCCUGAAUUACUCUGUUGAGUAGCACAGCGGAGACCAUGUUCUAACCAUUAUCUUACACCGGGAAGCUGCCUGUUGCCUGCUAGGUCCGGGAUAUAGUCCGUCAUACCAGGGAGUUCAGGGUGGCGGAUGCUUCAGAGCAACAAGUCACGUGACAUCCACAGUCAGGAGAUGGAAGGAAGGUGUGCCCGCUGACUGUCCAGCUCAUCAUCUUGGACCCACCCCUAAGAGAUGAUACCAGCCACAGUGGCCUGGGUCUAUCUCCUCAUGUCAUUCAGUGUCAUCGAACAGUACCCAGAAGAGCCCACAGACCAUCCUCUUCUACGUACUCCCUCACUGAGACACCUCCCAGCUGAUUUCAGACUGUCGUGUUGAUAACCAACACUGACGAUCACUGGUCAUUAAAAAAUAUCCUUGUCCUUAAAAGAAAUCAUUUAUUACAGUACAGAAAAAAAUACAGGAAAAAAAAGAGGAACGUGUGAACAUUGUCCUGAGUCCCACGUCUCAAGGGACUCAUUAGCAAAAGUUCUGCCUCUCUUCCCAAGUCUCAACUUGUCCACCAGCGUGUCGUAUAUCAAUUUAUGGUUUAUAUUAAAAUUGCCACAUGUUUAUCUUGUUGCUUCCUGCUCAGCUUCGUGGCGCUCACGGAGACUGCGGUUCUGUAACUAACGUGUCGCCGCAAAUGUUCUCCGCAUUUGCAUGGCACAUCAGAGGUCAGGGGUCACCUGCUUCAUAAUGGACCUGCCUCAUAAGUGGUCCAGUGAAGUUGGAGAUGAGGAAGAGAGAGGUGGAGACACGUGACGGCUCCCAAUGCUUUUUGACCAGCAGCUGUCAUUAAUGUACUGGUAUGGUGCACACUGCGCGCGGAUUGCCAGGCACACUGCCAGAGCAAGGUGCAGAAUUCGCUCUUGGGGAGUGGAGGUAGACAGUGGGGUAAUGAACGUUCUGUCACAAUGACAGGCCAACAGAUAACACAUACAUCUUAUUUUCAAGUUUGAGAAUGUGCGUCCUUCAGUUCCAAUUUCUCCUCCAGGAAAAUCAGAAAUCAGGCAGCCUGGUUUAGCAUUCCCUCAUGUUAACAUGUAGCUGUUGCUGAGAGCUGCCGGGACCUAUUGAAGAGGCAUUUCCAUUUGCCACAGUCGCCAUCCUUCCCUUCUGUCUCACCAAUCAGUCACUCCCCUCACCGAACAGGUCCCGUGACCUAUGCAGACAUUUAAGCCCUUGGCAGUUACCCAGACAGACUACGCUCCUGACUAACAUUUAGGGGCAUCCCAACAUUUCAUUAUUAUAUACAUUUCCAUCUACAUAUUAACAUUCUGAAUGUGUGUUGAGAUGCAUUUAAUUACUGAGAGGUCAGUAGAGAUAGUUCACAUUUCACUAAAGCCGUGGUCAGACUGUCUCUCCAACAGUGCAGUACUUUCAUUUCCUUCAAUGCAGCCGGCAGUGGGGAUGACGGACUCACUUUGUCCUUAUCUAGUGGGUCACCAACGGACCUCCACUCUAGCAUCUUUAAGGUAGCAGCAGCUGAGGGGACCCUCACAGCCCUCUAGGUGUCCCUGGUUUAUUUCUUAGGCAGACAUGCCUGUGGAGGCCAUGCCUGUUCACUUCCCGAGUUUAGUUUCUGAGGGUCACGUGUCUGACAAAUUAACCAGGACUCUUUCAGUUGGGAGUAUUGAUUCUGUUAUAUUAAUAAACACCACAGUUUGCCAAAUAUAGAUUGCAUCUGUCACGGUGACAGCCACCAACACUAGCCUUUUACUUUGUGAGUUUUCCUCAUGAAAAGUCUACAAAAAAUAUUUCCUGUAUUGUCAUGUGCCCGUGUGUUCAUCGUGCAGGCCCAUGCAUGUGGGUCUUGGGUACUGUUCCUCAGGGGUUGACCACCUUGUGUUUCCUUUAAUUUUCGAGGGUAUAAUUUAAUUAUCUCUUGCUCUUUCUUGCUUUUUGAGGCAGAAUUUCUUGGUGGCUUGGAGCCUGCUGACUGAACCCUGGAACCCCCCCUCUCCACCCCUCAAGCUUGGAUUAUGAAUGCCACCAUCACAUCUGAUUUUUUUUUUCAAGGUGGGUCCUUGGGACUGGGCGCAAGUCCCUGUGAGCACUUUACCGACUGAGCCACUUUUAUAGCCUCUGUUUUAUCUUGUUCUAGUAUCCGUAUGCAUGUCCUUUUAUAAUAUGCUAUUUGAGCCAUCCAGAAGUUAAUUUAAGCUGUGAUUUCAAGUGGUAAUUUUUGAACAUCAUCUAGCUGCUGGUCUUCAUACUAUUUUGGAACAGUCAUCCUUAGCCCAUUUAUUUAUAGACUUUAUUAUUGCGCUAAAUUACCAUAAUUAUUUGUGCCUAUUUUUGUAUUCUUUACUGAUUAAUUUGUUCUGACUUCAUGUUGCUUUAAUUGCUAUAGUUUAAUGGAUUAAUACCUAGAAUGAUUAUUCCCUUUCAAAAUUUUUUCAUUAUGAUUUCCCAGGAUUUUUACUAGAUUUUUUUUCUUUUGUUUCGUUGUCUUAAAUAAACUGAUGGCCGUUUUUCCAGGCAUCUUUCCCAUGCCAGCUCUGCUAGGUUGAUGUACACUUGUCUUGCACUUGUCUCAGAACAGCUUGGUUCCUUUAUGCUGUGAAACACUUUAAUCCACACAGGCAAGUUUAUUUCCUCAAGGUUUAUGAGAAUUCAUUUGUAAAACCAGGGGCACAUUUUUUUUUCUUUUCUUUUUCUUUUUUUUUUUUAAAGAUACCAGUGUGGUAUCUCUAAGUGGCUUUUAAAGAGUUAUCCUGUAAAUAUUGGCCAACAUAAGGCUUCCAUGAUAGCCUAUGACUUCCUUUAUUAUUUAGAAGGACAGUAUAGGCUGCCUCACAGGAUGUAACCUACAUAUCAGGAGGAGAGCACGCAUUGGACCCACAUAAGAUAUUUUUAACAUGCCAAUUUUCUGGGUGCUUUAGGGAAACCAUAGGACAGUGUUUGAUGGUAAUGACUGUUGGUAGUGACAACGCCGUGUAAACCCAUCCUUCCUGCCUCCCACACACAUGUCCUCUGCCCAGCCAUGCUCCCACUCUCCCUGUGACCCACACCUUUGCAGACUGAGUCCAGUGCUCAGCUCAGCCCCCUCUUAGGCCUCCGUUUCUCCUUCUGCACAUCGCUGCUGUUAUGGCCCCUCUUCAGCAGGUGUUCUUACACUACUGUAAUGAACUUCCUCGGUGCCUUCGCAAAGACAUUCCCAUGUCUGAAGAGAGUCUGGGCCUUACUCAUUGUCGUCUUCCUGCAUGAAGGGAUUUAGAUGUUCAGUAGCUUUACUGAAUGCACAAAGCAAGGCUGUGGCCUUCCUGGAGGAGCGGAAAGAAGCAGGCAGAAACACUACCUUUCAAUGGAUUCCUUAGGUGGAGGAGUCAGGGAAGCAGGAAGUGGUUUUAAGCUCUCCCCAGACCUUCCAGGAUACUCGAAGGAUUUUGUCCACAAAGGAGAAGCAGAAAGAAUGCGCCUGUGCAUGGGCAGCUGGAUGAGUGACCAGUGGGAAUGCACAGUUCUGGAGAACACCAAAUUACAACAAACACCUCUGGGCUUUUCAAAGCGGUCCCAGCAGGACAGAGACAGUGGUCCCUUCAGGAUCCGGUUGGAUCCAGUGUUGCCUCUUUAAUCUGUAAUCAUGCACAUCCCUGUCUAUUUGUGCUAAAGUUUGAUGGCAAAAAUGUUCUUUCUUACUUUUUUAUAAAGGACAGAUCUUUGGAGGAGUCAAGAGAACAGUAACAAUGUAACAGCGAUUUGGAGUAAGCUGCUUUUGAUGAAAUCGUCUUAAUUACAUGGCCCAUGUUAACACGGUUCAGUCUUGAAUGUUAGUCUCACCCCAGGCACUUGGCAACUUGAAUUUUACUUAAGAAAACAAGUAGACUAGAGUCACCAUACAGCUUGUGAGUGAAGUCACAGAGACUUAGUCCAGUGAUUAGGGAGCCAUCUACCUGACCAAGAACAGGAGAUAACGUGGAAGCUCAUCUGUGGACGCUGCGUGCUUCUGCACAGACCCACGUGCUAUUCCUCAGCACCAGAAGCCAGGGUUAUUACGGCUGGCUUUACAUUGGCACAAGUGAAUAUCUGUGCUGGUGCUCCGGAAAUCUGAUCCUGCCACUCUCACUGGCUGGCUUAUCAGCAUCACAAACAUCGCAGAGAUCCAUGAGCUCAUAUUCCUAACGAAGAAGCCAUUGGCUGCUCAUGGCUGGGGCAGGGAAGGACCCUCCCUGUUCUUUAAUGGAGGGAUCAUAUUCCAGCACACAGUUAACAGGGCAUAUGGGCAGCACAAAUUAGACUCUGGGUUAUUUUAAAAAGAUAUGAGAGAAAAAGACACAGAGUUGGGGGAAGGAUAUGGGAGGAGUUACAGGGAAAUGGGAGGAGUUACAGGGUAAAUGGGAGGGUGGCAAUGAUAAAAAUAUAUGGCAUGAAAUAGUUAACAAAAUGUUACUUUUAAAAAAGAAUCUAACUCAACCACUCUUAACAAUCCAACACUAGUCAGUGUGUUGGUAGCUACUUUAAAAUCUAGUUUUCUCUUAGAUAUUUUUUCCUAGCACAUUUAUAUCCUACUUUUUUUUGACAACUCUAAAUAAAUAGUAAUUUUAUAGAACAGAUACAUUUUCGUGGAUCCUGCCUAUCUGUAUACACACACUGUACCUGUUUGUAGACACACAACAUACUUGUCUGUAUACACACACCAUGUCUGUCUGUAUACACACACCAUGUCUGUCUGUAGACACAUACUGUGCCUGCCUGUAGACACACACUGUGCCUGCCUGUAGACAUUCACCAUGCCUGUCUGUAGACACACAGCAUGCCUGUUUGUAUACACAUACUGUGUCUAUCUGUAGUCAGUUUCUGAGUUGAAUUUUUGUGGCACUAAAUUGAAAGUAUUGCUUAGUGGAUAGAUAGUGACAGGACCAGUACAUUUCUGAAACAGACUCGUGGUUUAGAAAAUAGAAACACAGUGCAGAAGUUGUGCUUCAGUGCCUGGAUGCCUAAGAAAAGUCCUACCCACGAUUUCAGUCCCACGCCUCCAACUAUGCUGUGGACAGUGGAAUGACAAUGUUCCCUUCUUGGGCAUCUUGGAUCAAAACUGAUGCUGCUUUGGACAACUGGUUCAGUUCCAGGUCAACUACAGACAAGGCUCUAGUACAGUAUAGGAUUCAGCUUCCAUGGACCCCGAAGUUUUCUUUAAAUUCUCCUAUUUUCCCUUUAUUUCCUCAGUGUGUUAGCCAGCUUACUGUUACUAUGUCAAAACACCUGAGGCAGACCACCUAGAGGGAGGAAAGGUUUCUUUGGCCCACAGUUUUGGUGGUUUUAGUUCCCUGUUGGGAGCUAUUAAGACAACACAAUUGUCCUGAUCUCUGAAUUGGGCCUCUCUCCCCCCACCCCCAGAAGAAAAGGGGGUCACAAGCGGGCCACCAAUGCACCGCUCUGAGAACAACCACAGAUUGUUCCAGCCCUAAGUCAGCGCCGGAUGUCCUGACCACAAAAUAUACCCUGAUACCACCAAGUUCCUGUUUCCCCAUGUAGUCGCCAAAAGAAAAAUUUCCGCUGCCCCAUCCCUCUUGCUGAGAAGUACUUUCUCCUUUGCUUGUGCAUUUAAGCCUUGCCUUGCUGAAUACAGUGAGACCUUGAUGCUAAUCAGACUGCUUCUGUGUGUCGUUCAUUGCACUUGGUUCUCGUCUCUCUCUCCCCCCAUUUGGUUCUUAGGAGAAGGUCCCCUCGAGACCCUCGAAUAACUGGACCUGCUGGAUGGGUCAGUUCACAUUGUUGGUUGCUGUGUCAUGGAAGGGGAAAUGGUGGGGGAAGCUGCUUACAUUGUGGAAGCAAAGAGAAGAAAGAGGAGAGGGUUGGGUACCAGUAACUUCCUUAAAGGCAAGCUCUAACCACCGACCUUCCUCCCUCUAGGCCUCAGUAUAAAGGUGACACCACAGGCUGAGGGCCAACCGUAAACACACAGGCAUUAUAGAAACAAACUCCAGCUCCGUAGAGACACAAGCUCCUCCCAAGUACUUCAUCCGUUCAUUCUUGAAAAAUGGGUUACAGUGUUCGCUGGAUUCUUCUGUCUGCUGAUCUGACCUUAUCAGUUCUGGAACACAGGAAAGGCUCUCCUUUGCCUCCACUACAUCCUCCAUGGCCCUCAGGACUCAGUCAGCACCGUGUGUCUGAAGAGGCACACGCCUGAGGGAGGCGCAUUUCAUGCCGGUCACCUGCCUCAACUACAGACCUUCCGCACCCAGCACUGUGGCCCAGGCUAACCCCCUCACUUCUGAACUGUCCCUAGAAAUGGCAUGAGUCUUGGGUUCUGAAUUCAGGGCCAGUGAACCUUCUCUCUCAGCUUCUUCCUCCAUGUUUCUGCUGACCCAUCAUGUGCUCAGUAAAACAUAGAACUACUGUCUGUUGGACAAUUUACCCCUUGCCCCUCAGAAGGAAAGUAAGAUAUACAGAAGAAAAGAUAUUUUCUAAUGUACAUUUGGUUUUACCCAUCAGGCCAUCUUUUUGGUUAUACAUCAUUUUUUUUUUCAGUCAGUGAACAGACAGGUGCUCUAGGGGUUACACCGAUCCCUUAAAGCUACAGAGCUUGUAACUCCGGAGUUUUGCUCUUUAUUCUAAAUCCUACUCUUUAAAGGUCUUCGCAAACUCUUUCAAAGUCCUUCAUAGCCAUCUACUAUCAAACUUUCUAACUCUUUCUUCUUUACUUUACCUGGUGGCUGGAUGAGUCACGGGAUCAUGGCCUCCAUGUCUUAAACAUGCCUUUCCCAUCUCACACUCGCUCUCUGGAAAUGCAUCCUUUGCUCUCAUCCACACGACCCUGAGUGCAUGGGUAGCAGUGCCUUCUGAGCUGCUGAAGUACACAACCAUUCAGUUCUAUUCAUUUCUCCCUGUUCUUGGAGUGUUGGUACCCAGCUCUGCCUCCUCUUUCCCAAGCUUCUACAACAAACACGCCCAGAGAAAACUCACCAGCAAGUGUUAAAAUGCAAUCUGUCUUGAUGGAGUUUCAAAGUAUUGAUACACUCUUAGUAUAACAACCUAUGAAACAGUAUUUUAUCAGGCUGUGGAAUACUUGAUUAGAUCACUUUGUUAGAAAGUGGAGUAAUAAAAUUAGUGGUAUAACUACAAUACAGGGGUGCAAACAGGCUCGCAGACCACGCUCAUCUCUCCUCGUUCCCUGACCAGUAUUUCCUGAUCAUGAAGAACUUCGUUGUGUCUAAAUCCAUGCUCUGACUUGCUGAAGGGACCCAGGUGUCCUGUAGCUCCCCCAAAACACAUACCCUAGAGUUUAAGCAAGGCACUCCUAGCUAAACCUGCUUUCAAUGUGUCCAUAGAGUGUGAAGCUUUGCAGCUACGAACUCAUUAUCCUUGAGGUAGCAAGAAAGGCAGUAUGAGCCACGUUUUUAAAAAGAUUUUCUGUACCUAUUGAAGUCAUUGGUAGGUACACGGGACAGAAAAUCUAACACUAGAGGUGCAAGUCAGAAAUCACACAUAGAAAGGAAAGCAUUUUUAAAACUCUACAGUUGUGGAAACUGUAAUCUGCCCCUCUGAGGUAGAACCUUAUGCUGGGUGUCAUCCCACUCCCCCUAUGAGGAUCAGUACCCGACUGUAAUACAAGCCUCAUUGCGUGGUGAUGGUAUCAGGAUCAGCAGCAAGCACAGCAGGAACCCUCCACAGACCCUCCACAGCAGGCCUAGUGCAUUCUCCUCCCCUUUAGGCUAACGCACCUUGAUUCAUGAGUGCCACAGAGCUGUCUUUGUUUCUUUGCCCUGCAUCUAUCAUUCCAUAAGUGUGCGCUUCCGCACCACUCAUCUGCAAGGGGCUGACGAGCGGAAUUAAUAAUGCGAUGUCCUAUUUACACGGGCAGUGUUGAGAAUGUGCACAGCCAGCCGAUCGAUGAGUCCGAACGGAUAAAGGAAGCACUUCUAGCUUACCGAGGUUGUGGGCACCUCAGCUAGGAAAACUCACUGCCAAUUCCAAAGGACACCAGCACUCCAACUUUUAAGGUGAGAUUUGAAAGUUUCCUUUCACUGCAAGAACACCAGAUCCCUUACAGAAAAAGAGAGCUGAGUGAUUUUUCUACCUGCUGAGGACAAUUUUUAAAACGAAAGAAAGUGAAGAAUCAAAGCCUAGUAAAUGGCUCUAAGGUGGAGAGUGACCGAGAGGACUCGGGGCAUCGCUCUGCAUGUGAAUCCUCUGUCCCAAGCACGGAGAACGGUCCGUACAUAAUUUAACUGGCUCUGCCGUCCACCCAGAGGUAACUAUCUCUUUUUACUUGCCGGAGUGUGCACCUCCAAGAGAAAAGACAGACACGUUUCCUUGGGCCGUUUGGUGAUGGCUACCGGCCUUUCCCAGACUGCUGUCUCCCGCACUCUGCUCCCUGGUCUACUGUUCCCAUUGUAAGCCGGCUUAAUCUUAAUUUCAUUCCUUAAGCCAUGCCGGCGCUGAACAUAACGGCAGCUGCCUUCCCACAUAUUUCAAGCUUUCAUUUGUUACUAAAACAGUAUGUUUAAAAUAAGAUGAGAAUAUGAUAUUUUAUUUUUACCUGGG